GACGAACGCUGGCGGCGUGCUUAACACAUGCAAGUCGAACGAAGUGGCGAACGGGUGAGUAACGCGUAAUCAACCUGCCCUUCAGAGGGGGACAACAGUGGGAAACGACUGCUAAUAUCGCAUACUGAAGGAGGGGAUUGCGUCGGAUUCGCUAGUUGGCGGGGUAAGGGCCAACCAAGGCCAUGAUCAGUAGCCGGUCUGAGGGGGUGAACGGCCACAUUGGGAAUGAGACACGGCCCAGACUCCUACGGGAGGCAGCAGUGGGGAAUCUUCCGCAAUGGACGAAAGUCUGACGGAGCAAUGCCGCGUGAGUGAUGACGGCCUUCGGGUUGUAAAGCUCUGUUAAUCGGGACGCGGUACCGGAAUAGAAAGCCACGGCUAACUACGUGCCAGCAGCCGCGGUAAUUC
rnacentral:rRNA from 1 species